UUUUAACUGUUGUCCCGUAUUCUGAAAGCUUAACCAAAAUGAAUAUCUCCGCACAUCGGAAUGCGUGACACACACUUGAACACCCAAACACGUCAUUUAGCACCCAUUCAUGCAACAUUAAACGUGUAGUGCCUAGGCUAUCAUGCAAAAGAUGAUCGAUGAUCUAAGAAACGAAUUAAACUCAAACAAUUUCCUAAACUAGUGCCAUGCAAUAAAAUAAAAUAAGGAUACAGUGGGUUGCCUCCCACUCAGCGCUAGGUUAUAGUCGAUAGCUCGACUUUACCGUAAUGCGUCAUUCUGGUGAUCCAAGUUGGACGGUAGACUUGUCCUUUGAGAAAUCACCGCCCCAGUAAUGCUUCAACCGCUG
rnacentral:lncRNA from 1 species